rnacentral:rRNA from 1 species
CUACGGGAGGCACCAGUGGGGAAUAUUGGGCAAUGGGCGCAAGCCUGACCCAGCAACGCCGCGUGAGGGAAGAAGGUUUUCGGAUUGUAAACCUCUGUCCUUGGGGACGAAGAAGUGACGGUACCCAAGGAGGAAGCUCCGGCUAACUACGUGCCAGCAGCCGCGGUAAUACGUAGGGAGCAAGCGUUGUCCGGAAUUACUGGGCGUAAAGGGUGCGUAGGCGGCAUAUUAAGUCAGGUGUGAAAUACUCGGGCUCAACCCGGGGGCUGCAUUUGAAACUGAUAUGCUUGAGUGUGAGAGAGGAAAGUGGAAUUCCUAGUGUAGGGGUGGAAUGCGUAGAUAUUAGGAGGAACACCAGUGGCGAAGGCGACUUUCUGGCUCAUAACUGACGCUGAGACACGAAAGCGUGGGGAGCAAACAGGAUUAGAUACCCCCGUAGUC